rnacentral:rRNA from 1 species
AUGCACGCUUGCGGCGUGCCUAAUACAUGCCAGUCGAGCGAACGGACGAGAAGCUUGCUUCUCUGAUGUUAGCGGCGGACGGGUGAGUAACACGUGGAUAACCUACCUAUAAGACUGGGAUAACUUCGGGAAACCGGAGCUAAUACCGGAUAAUAUUUUGAACCGCAUGGUUCAAAAGUGAAAGACGGUCCUGCUGUCACUUAUAGAUGGAUCCGCGCUGCAUUAGCUAGUUGGUAAGGUAACGGCUUACCAAGGCAACGAUGCAUAGCCGACCUGAGAGGGUGAUCAGCCACACUGGAACUGAGACACGGUCCAGACUCCUACGGGAGGCAGCAGUAGGGAAUCUUCCGCAAUGGGCGAAAGCCUGACGGAGCAACGCCGCGUGAGUGAUGAAGGUCCUCGGAUCGUAAAACUCUGUUAUUAGGGAAGAACAUAUGUGUAAGUAACUGUGCACAUCUUGACGGUACCUAAUCAGAAAGCCACGGCUAACUACGUG